GUGGAUGUAGCUCAGCUGGUUAGAGCGCUGGAUUGUGGUUCCAGAGGUCGCCGGUUCGAACCCGGUCUUCCACC
rnacentral:tRNA from 2 species